GACGAACGCUGGCGGCGUGCUUAACACAUGCAAGUCGAACGAUGAACUUGGAGCUUGCUCUGGGGGAUUAGUGGCGAACGGGUGAGUAACACGUGAGUAACCUGCCCUGGACUCUGGGAUAACUUCGAGAAAUCGGAGCUAAUACCGGAUAGGACCUUGCACCGCAUGGUGUGGGGUGGAAAGUUUUUCGGUUUGGGAUGGACUCGCGGCCUAUCAGCUUGUUGGUGAGGUAAUGGCUCACCAAGGCGUCGACGGGUAGCCGGCCUGAGAGGGUGACCGGCCACACUGGGACUGAGACACGGCCCAGACGCCAACGGGAGGCAGCAGUGGGGAAUAUUGCACAAUGGGCGCAAGCCUGAUGCAGCAACGCAGCGUGCGGGAUGACGGCCUUCGGGUUGUAAACCGCUUUUAGUAGGGAAGAAGCCUUCGGGUGACGGUACCUGCAGAAAAAGGACCGGCUAACUACGUGCCAGCCGCCGCGGUAAAAC
rnacentral:rRNA from 1 species